rnacentral:rRNA from 1 species
CCUACGGGUGGCAGCAGUGGGGAAUAUUGCACAAUGGGCGCAAGCCUGAUGCAGCCAUGCCGCGUGUAUGAAGAAGGCCUUCGGGUUGUAAAGCACUUUCAGUAGGGAGGAAGGUAGUGUAGCUAACACCUGCAUUAUUUGACGUUACCUACAGAAGAAGCACCGGCUAACUCCGUGCCAGCAGCCGCGGUAAUACGGAGGGUGCGAGCGUUAAUCGGAAUUACUGGGCGUAAAGCGCAUGCAGGCGGCCUGUUAAGUCAGAUGUGAAAGCCCGGGGCUUAACCUCGGAAUUGCAUUUGAAACUGGCAGACUAGAGUACUGUAGAGGGGGGUAGAAUUUCAGGUGUAGCGGUGAAAUGCGUAGAGAUCUGAAGGAAUACCGGUGGCGAAGGCGGCCCCCUGGACAGAUACUGACACUCAGAUGCGAAAGCGUGGGGAGCAAACAGGAUUAGAUACCCUGGUAGUC